rnacentral:rRNA from 1 species
UACGUAGGGUGCAAGCGUUAAUCGGAAUUACUGGGCGUAAAGCGUGCGCAGGCGGUUCGGCAAGUGAGGUGUGAAAUCCCAGGGCUUAACCUUGGAACUGCACUUUUAACUACCGGGCUAGAGUACGUCAGAGGGGGGUAGAAUUCCACGUGUAGCAGUGAAAUGCGUAGAGAUGUGGAGGAAUACCGAUGGCGAAGGCAGCCCCCUGGGAUGAUACUGACGCUCAUGCACGAAAGCGUGGGGAGCAAACAGG